rnacentral:lncRNA from 1 species
UAUUAAUAUAGAGCUCAGGAAAAAAUAUAGAUGUUAACAGACUGUUAGUUUAGUUAGAUGCAUCUGUUAGUUUGUAUCUUUUUUAAAAGGCAGGAUCUUUAUGUAUCAGGAGAAAUGCUCUUGAAGAUGUUAUCUUUCUCUUUUCACUGAGAUCAUAAUUGGAUUCUGCUCCUGACAGUCCUGUGGAAUAAUAGAAAAAAUGCUUUUAUGUCCUCUCACUGACUGAAUGUCACAUCAGAUAAAUUUGUCCUGUCUUUCUUGUCUUCUUAAAAUACUUCUGUAAUUUGAUUAAAAAGAUAAGGAUAAUUUAAAAAUUCUAAAAUGAUGUGCAAAAUUGCUGUUAAUGCUCUUAAAUGGGUUUUGUACUUUCUUGGAGAGGGAAUAAUCCAAAAAAAGAACCAAAAAAAUCAUUAGAUGGGCUUC